GGAAUUUGUACAGAAAGUCCAACACAGGUACUCAGUCAGGUGAACAGGGGUCACCAUUGGAGGAAAAACUGACUUUUAUGCUAAUCUGCACCUGUCUGAGGCUUGUGCAGGUGUUCCAGUGGUGGGAGAGGGUGGAUGGUGAUGUGAUGUGAGGCCAAGGAGGGUGGGGAGACCCCUCAUGAGUUGGAGGAGCAAGCUGUGCAAGGAAUGAGUGAGACUGCUGAAAAAAGGCUCUGGUAAUCGUUUACAGCACCCCUGUAAACGAUUACCCGAGAGAAAGUGGGAAUUUGUACAGAAAGUCCAACACAGGUACUCAGUCAGGUGAACACAGGUCACCAUUGGACAAAAAACUGACUUUUAUGCUAAUCUGCACCUGUCUGAGGCUUGUGCAGGUGUUCCAGUGGUGGGAGAGGGUGGAUGGUGAUGUGAUGUGAGGCCAAGGAGGGUGGGGAGACCCCUCAUGAGUUGGAGGAGCAAG
rnacentral:sRNA from 1 species